UUCACGUGGUUAAAAAUUCUCUGUCUCUGUUUUCUAUUUCUUCUUCUUUGCUCUUUAUUUUUCUUCGUCGUUUUGUUGUCUCGACUCAGUUAUGUACUCCAUCAUCAAUUGCAUCAAAAUCCUACAAUUCUUCGCACACGGUUUCUCAUGGUGCUAUUCAGUUCAGAACGUAUGAGGAACUCCCUAAAGUCAGUGGGGAGUUCAAAGAAAGGAGAAGAAAGUCAUUAUGGAUUAUGCUUGAGAUUUUGUUAGAUGCUUUUUGUAAAGGACAUGUUAGAUAAGCUUCAAUGUAUAUAGAGAGAAGACGAAGGUUUAAAACGGUUAUGUUCUUGUUCACCUUGAUGUUCCAAAGCGUUGCAUAUAUAACAAUAAUUUGCAAUAUGAAAACUUUAAUCUCUU